rnacentral:lncRNA from 1 species
CGACGCGCUGGAAAAGAAAUCAACAGAAAUCAGUGGUUUGCAGAAAGAAUGCACUCAUCAAACCAAUAAGGGCAACUGUGAAUAUCAAAAACUCCAAACACCUCAUUCUUACUGGAGUCCAUCGCCAUGAGGAUAUGAGGGAAGAGAAGCCAGUUUACCUUUUAAUGCUGAGUGCAAAGCAAAGCAAGGGAGCUAUAACACGUGAGUCAUCUUACAUCACGGGGUGUAACAGGAGAUUUUUGCAGCACCGGCAAAAAGCACGGGAAAAUCCUGUCUGGCAUGCAAGAAAUUAGUUUCUAAGGCGAGACUGGCUUCAACGUAAAGUAGUAUUGCUCUUCUUGUAUUUGUUUUCAUUUGUCAUGUGACAUAUCAACCUCUACUACAUACUUUGUUAACUUAGAGGCUAUGUCAUGCACUAAGGUUAAACCUUUAAAGUGUAUUAACAUACCUAUUAUAGUUGCAUUUCAUAUGUAUAUCAUUUUAUCUUUUUUUCUCUGAAUGCUAUCCUUUAUCUUCUUUUUCCGCUGAAAUGUUUCAGAAAGAUCUUCAGAACAAACUCUGGCUUAUCUGACUGGAGUGUAAUGUUUGCUUAUUACAGAAUAUUCAAGAAUCUGAAUGUUUUGGGCGUUAUAACUGUUGCCGGGUUUUCUUUAAUAUACAGUUUUAAACUGUUAUGGUAAGUGAUAUACACAUUUCAGAGUUAAA